AAGAGAGGCAAUAUCGGUAUUGGUGAUGGAAGAAUUAACGAGCCUAAUGAUGAGAUGUGCUUUUCAGGAAAUGAGCUAUUAUUAAUUUAAGAAACGAUGACGUUGAUAAAAUAAAUCAAUAUACGUUUUCUCAACUACCAGGUGAAGAGAAGCAAUAUCUUACGAGUUAUAAAAAGUUUUUUAAAUGGCUACUCGAUAUUGGUGAUGGAAGAAUCAAUGAGCCUAACUAUG